rnacentral:rRNA from 1 species
AUUGAACGCUGGCGGCAGGCCUAACACAUGCAAGUCGAGCGAGCGGCGGACGGGUGAGUAAUGUCUGGGGAUCUGCCUGAUUGAGGGGGAUAACUACUGGAAACGGUUGCUAAUACCGCAUACCAUCGGAUGUACCCAUAUGGGAUUAGCUAGUAGGUGGGGUAAAGGCUCACCUAGGCGACGAUCUCUAGCUGGUCUGAGAGGAUGACCAGCCACACUGGAACUGAGACACGGCCCAGACUCCUACGGGAGGCAGCAGUGGGGAAUAUUGCACAAUGGGCGCAAGCCUGAUGCAGCCAUGCCGCGUGUAUGAAGAAGGCCUUAGGGUUUUAAAGUACUUGCAGCGGGGAGGCGUUACCCGCAGAAGAAGCACCGGCUAACUCCGUGCCAGCAGCCGCGGUAAUAC